ACUUACAAGGGAAGAAUCAAUGAAGAGCUAUUGCUAUAUCACAAGAGUGACAUUAAAUUGAUGGCAUGAGGACGUACCUGUGACAGGAGCUGGCUUAAAUGAUGAAUUGUACAUAUUCAAGUUACUACAUUUUAGUAUUCAGACUACUAUCUGUAGGAAUGUGUUAAGAAAUACUACAAUAUUUUAACAGGACUGUAUUUUUCCCAGUGGUUGAGAACACCUGGGAUUGGAGUGGGGCCAACUCAGCUUCUAUACCCAUGGCCCUGGGCUGGCUGCUUGACUCUCAGACACAUCAGGUGCACUGCAGUGUCAUAUGAAUUGAUGUAUAUGGAGUGGUGUUUGUAUAGGACCCAAAACUAUGUCCUUCUGAAUAAAUAUUCUAGACGUGAUUUAAAGCCAUACUUGCUAAAAUGUGAAAACUUCACACAGAAGUUGUCAGUUCACAGGAUUAAUCUCCACCAGAAGGCAUUUUGUGAAGAAUGGGCUCUCAGAAAUACAAAAUACCACAGGAACUAUCUUUUAAAUCAGAUUUCUGGUGAAACAGUGCAGCCUGCCUGCCUCCUAAGUUGAAGUAGCUGGUGGAAAUAACCAGGUUGGGUAUCAGGUGUGCUACUAGCCCCAGCUUGACCCUGGACUGGCUGCUGAAGCUUCCACAAGCCGCUCAACAUCACCCGGCCUCAUUUAACACAUGAACAAAUGUGUCAUGAAUGGCAUGACUUCUAAGUCCUGUCCAGCCACAUCAACCUCUAAUUCCAUCGCUUUGCACAAACUCACAAGGUUUUUGACCACUUAUAAAUUCAAUUUUUUCCCCUGUGAUUGUGUGAAUAAGUAAAAAUUGAAGUAUACUUAUGGUUUUCCACAUACUCUAUUCAUUAUAGUGUACAUACAUAAAUCUAUUUUUAAAGAAUAAUAUUCACCUUUACCCCAACAAUAUCAAAAUAAGUUUGUGAUCUACACUUAUGUGAAUACAGAAGUUGUAUAUAUACAGGGUAUUACAUUAUUUGUCUUAAAAUUUAAAUUGUAUAAUUUUAAAAUAAUUUCCCAAUCCUACUGCAUAAAAAAAUCUCAACUUUACACUAAACAAUCAUAAUAUGUAAUUGAUGAUUUAUUAAUUUACUCUUCUGAGAUGAACAUAAUAUUUCAGGCACAUAAUAUGCACAAGACAUAUUCCACAAUGGCAAAACUUUGUUUAAAAUGGUAAGGUGUAUUUUAUUGCUUUUUAUUAAAUAUCUGAGGUAAAUACAUUUUAUAUAAAUUGUUCUAAUCAAUUUUUCUUAGAGAUAGUAUUUACAAUAAGUGAAAUAAACUGAACCAUGUAAAACUGUUAGUUUUUAAUUAAACAUAUACUAAACAUGUUAUAAAAGGAAAUUUAAAAUUAUAGUUGUAGUUAUUAAGCAAGUGCUAUAUUGCAAACAACAUGUGGGACUUCUUAUAAGAUUAUUAUAAUCUUCAGAAUAAGUAUAUUGUGUAAGCUUUCUCAUCUCCAAAUCCCAGAUGAAUGAAGUGGUCCAGCUGUUUGGCAGAAAGGUAAGUGAGUGGAAGGAGAAUAAGGCCAGUGGAACCCACUAAAAGGUACUCAAAUAGUUAACCAGAUAAAAUCAGAGAGCCAGAAAGGACUCAUGGAGUUAAUGAGUUAUUUAGUUGAACUUUCAAAGGCCAGGAGCAACUUGGAACGUCCAGAUAUUCCCAAGUAGAAAAGUAUCAGCAUAGCCCAUGUCUUCAGUUGUACCAAUGAAUUCAUGCCAUUGUAAAAUCUACUUAGCCUGCUGAAAAAGGCCAAGUUUAUCUUUUCCCUAAUCUAUAUACUCUUCUUCCUUUUCUUCCAGCUCCUCAAGCAAGUAACUUUGUAACCAGGGCAGAGGAUAUGCCUCUGAACUAUAAAUAAACCUAUGUGGAUAAAGAAUGCUGAGAUCGGGACCAACACAAUCACCUAAAUAAGCCUAUUCUUAAGACAAAACUUCAAAGAAACAAUGAAUCACAUGUAUACAUCAUACCUUAUGCUGACUCCUACCCAAAAAGUCCUAUAAAAACCCAAGUACUAAACCUUUUGGGGUGUCUCCUUUCUAAGGUUGCCCGCACUCCCCUUUCUUCGAGUGUGUACAUUUUUACCUUAAAUAAAGACCUGU